UACGGGGGGAGCAAGCGUUGUUCGGAUUUACUGGGCGUAAAGGGCGCGUAGGCGGUCAGCACAAGUCAGUUGUGAAAUCUCCGGGCUUAACUCGGAAAGGUCAACUGAUACUGUGCGACUAGAGUGCGGAAGGGGCAACUGGAAUUCUUGGUGUAGCGGUGAAAUGCGUAGAUAUCAAGAGGAACACCAGUGGCGAAGGCGAGUCCCUGGACAACUCCUGACACUGAGGCACGAAAGCUAGAGGAGCAAACAGG
rnacentral:rRNA from 1 species